ACAAUGAGGUUUCUCCAGGGACAGAGCUGAGAGGGCCCUGAUGAGGCCUCAGAAAUGACUGGACAGCCAGGAGAGCAAGGCUGAACCAGGAACCCAAACUGGUCACUUCUACAACUGAAUUCAGAGCCCCAGAGGGACAGAUCCAAGCAAAAGAGUUAUUCAGAAUGCCCCGAUUUCCUGAGAAAAAUGACUACUAUGGCUUUUCCAUCUCCUACUUGACUACGGUCACUAAGAACCCAUCUUGGAAACAGUGGAGCAGCAACUGUAACUAAGAAACAGUGAGCAAGUCCUUCCUCUGUACUAAUAAAAGGGCCAAAUAUUAGCCUUCUGAUCAGUGCAACAUCAAAAAUAAAUACCAGUGUGUUUCAAA